CGAACGCUGGCGGCGUGCUUAACACAUGCAAGUCGAACGGUGAAGCGCCUUCCUUUUUGGUGGGUGUGGAUGAGUGGCGAACGGGUGAGUAACACGUGAGUAACCUGCCCCCUUCUUCUGGAUAACCGCAUGAAAGUGUGGCUAAUACGGGAUAUUCUGGGUCUGUCGCAUGAUGGGUCUGGGAAAGAUAUUGUUUCGGUGGGGGAUGGGCUCGCGGCCUAUCAGCUUGUUGGUGGGGUGAUGGCCUACCAAGGCGGUGACGGGUAGCCGGCCUGAGAGGGUGGACGGUCACACUGGGACUGAGACACGGCCCAGACUCCUACGGGAGGCAGCAGUGGGGAAUAUUGCACAAUGGGCGCAAGCCUGAUGCAGCGACGCCGCGUGAGGGAUGGAGGCCUUCGGGUUGUGAACCCCUUUCGCCAGUGAAGCAGGCCUGCCUCGUUUGUGGGUGGGUUGACGGUAGCUGGAUAAGAAGCGCCGGCUAACUACGU
rnacentral:rRNA from 1 species